UAUGAUCAUCAAGAUAUCAAAAACACUUGCUAAAUGUGUAAGUGUGUGUCAAGCCAUAGCCAUCUUACCGCCAACCCUAACACAUGCAACAUCGAGUGUAUCUCUAGCUAAAGGUCCAACCCCAUAACUCACAGAUAUUAAAGUGUUUAGUGCGGGAUUUCUCUCUAUGGAGCUGGGAAAGAUGCACACUCAAAACAUGGAGGCUUUAAUAAUUAGCAAC
rnacentral:lncRNA from 1 species